UACGUAGGGUGCAAGCGUUGUCCGGAAUCAUUGGGCGUAAAGCGCGCGUAGGUGGCUUCGUAAGUCCGUUGUGAAAGUCAAAGGCUCAACCUUUGAAUGCCGAUGGAUACUGCGAAGCUAGAGUACGGAAGAGGUGAGUGGAAUUCCUGGUGUAGCGGUGGAAUGCGCAGAUAUCAGGAGGAACACCAAUAGCGAAGGCGGCUCUCUGGGACGGUACUGACGCUGAGACGCGAAAGCGUGGGGAGCGAACAGG
rnacentral:rRNA from 1 species